GGCGGUACUCAGGUGACACACCCCAGAAUUUGGCUCCCUCCUCUCUGGUUCCAGGGUGCAUCAUCCAAGAACAGCA
rfam:Myotis lucifugus cont2.17321, whole genome shotgun sequence.